rnacentral:rRNA from 1 species
AUUGAACGCUGGCGGCAUGCCUUACACAUGCAAGUCGAACGGCAGCACGGGAGCAAUCCUGGUGGCGAGUGGCGAACGGGUGAGUAAAGUAUCGGAACGUGCCCAGUCGUGGGGGAUAACGUAGCGAAAGUUACGCUAAUACCGCAUACGAUCUAUGGAUGAAAGCGGGGGAUCGCAAGACCUCGCGCGAUUGGAGCGGCCGAUAUCAGAUGAGGUAGUUGGUGGGGUAAAGGCUCACCAAGCCGACGAUCUGUAGCUGGUCUGAGAGUACGACCAGCCACACUGGGACUGAGACACUGCCCAGACUCCUCCGGGAGGCAGCAGUGGGGAAUUUUGGACGAUGGGCGAAAGCCUGAUCCAGCCAUGCCGCGUGCAGGAUGAAGGCCCUCGGGUUGUAAACUGCUUUUGUACAGAACGAAAAGGCUCUGGUUAAUACCUAGGGCUCAUGACGGUGCUGUAAGAAUAAGCACCGGCUAACUACGUGCCAGCCGCCGCCGUAA